AAAGAAUGUAGUUUUACACUGUUUAUAUAAAAUGUUUGACCUUUUAUUUUAUUUAAAUUUUUUUAUGAUUAGUAUUUUUAUUGUUAUUAGAUGAUAAAACAUGAAUAGUUAUGUAUGACUAAUUUUUUUAAUGUUUUUUUAUAUUUUUUUAAAUAAGACUGAUGUUUAAACGUUAGAUACGAAAACCUAUAACUGCAUUUAAA
rnacentral:pre_miRNA from 1 species